AUGUGUGCAGGCAUAGAGGGGGUCUUUCCGUUGGAAGUGCACAGGCACUGUAGGUGGCACAUUAUAAAGAAGGCUAAGGAGACGCUAGGACCGUUCUUUGCUGACCAUCCAAAGCUCCACAAGGCAUUCGAGCUGUGCGUGGACCACAGCUUGACGGUAGAGGAGUUUGAAAGGAGCUGGAUGGCCAUGAUUGAAACAUAUCAAGUCCAAGACAAUGAGACGCUUGCUAGCCUGUGGGAGAAGUGAAUGUACUGGAUGCCGGUCUACUUCAUGCAGUGCUUCUUCCCCUUUCUGCAGACUACGCAGCACAGCGAGGGGUUCAAUGCUGUUUUGAAGCGGUACGUGAGCCCUGACAACUCAUUGCUACAGUUUGCCAAGCAAUACACAGCUUUGCAACAAAAAAUUCUAGGAUCUGAGCUACAGCAAGAAGCGACCACCGUGCUAAACCAGCCAAAAUUGCUAACGUAUUUGCCGAUGGAGAGGCAAAUGAGCAAGAUAUACACCAACAAGAUCUUUAACAAGUAA
rnacentral:rRNA from 1 species